GGCCCCGCCAGAACACCCGGGCAGGUAUCAGGGACAGGGCAGGAUUCCAGCUUCAGCCUGUCUACCUCUGAAGCUCUCCUGAUCAAUACAUCAGAGAAGAUGACGGAGCCCUCCUGCCGCUCUUAGGGAGAGUCGCGUCGCUGCUGUCAUCGAUGCCGUGCUGGACCUCGCAGCGAUAGAUGCCUGAGUCGUUGGGGCGCAGCUCGCUCAGCGCCAGGGAGACAUCGGUGAGCGACGCUGGGUACGCAGGCAGUGCCACGCGGAACCGGUAGGCCUCAUUCACCUUGACGCGAACUCCCCGCGCCACCAGCACCUCUGCCUCCCGGCCCCCAGACAGGAAAGUCCACUUGACCCGCGGAGAUCCCAGCACGGCCCGGCGGCUCGGCGGCGGCCGCAGAACAUCUGCUAAAGCUGCAGGAGCCUGGGCCAGGACCAGGGCUGCCAGCAGGGGCAGGAGUAGCUGGGCCAUGCUGCAGGCUGACAGAAGGACACGAGAAGGAAAGAUG